AGCUUUUUCAGCUCUAUCACACAGCAUUCAUCAGAAGAUAUCAGCUCAGUUGUGUUGGAGAUGGACAUUGAUGUGGACAUCUGUGACAAAGCUAUGUGCGCCUCUGGUGUGAUGCCCCCUGGAAGAUAUGACGGUGUAAAGAUACAGGCCAGGCGGCGUGAGGCUCAGAUGUUUUGAGGAUGAGCACACGUGGGACACAAAUUGACUGCCACCCUUGAUUCCCCCCUCUGGUAUUUCCCCAAGGAGAGAUUGAAACUCUGAAGAAGUGGGACUGGGACCGGGACUGGAAUUCCAAACCAGAUUGUGUCUGUCUGUCUGUGCCGCCCUGCUUGUGAAAACAGAUUAAAAUCAUACUGACCACUGCA